UGCAUCAUUAGUUCCAUCACCUGUGACUGCAACCACAUGACCUUUAUGCUUCAAGCAUUGUACCAUAAGAAGUUUGUCAAAAGGAGAUGACCUGGCCAUUACAAGGAUUUUGUCAACUUUUUCCAUUCUCUCUUCAGAUUAUUGUAGCCGAGCCCAUUGUCUCGCAAGAAGAUAGUUUUCUGACCAUAGCAUUAUCAGCCAUCAUGCAUUUCAUUGAAUAAGCCAGAGUUAGAGUAACAGCCAGAGUGUUCCCUGUGAAGUACCGAAUCAACAUAACAAGAAGAACAAGUGCUGCCACCAACAGACCAAUCUUCCCUAUAUAAGAAGUUAGCUUGUUGAGGCGUGCUUGCAAUGGCGUCUCCUCAUUCAAGUCACGAUUUAUAGAACUCAUCAUCUCACCCCAUGCAGUGUUCAUGCCCACAGAAGUGACGAGCAUGAAACCAUAGCCAUCCGUGACCUUUGUGCCUGAUAACAUAAAGGGAUUCCCUUGAUUGAUCUCAAUGUGGUCACUUUCACCAGUCAUGCUAGACUCAUCCACCUUCAAAGAAUGCCCUUCCAAGAAUAACCCAUCAGAGGGAACUUGAUCACCAAUCUUUAAGCACACAAUAUCACCCACAACAACAUCAAAUAUCGAUAUAGGUUGGCGCCUCCUAUCUCUCACAACUUCCACUGUUAUAUCACUACUCUUUGUUGAAAGCUUCUGAAAUUGCUUUGAUUGUUUAAAGUCACUCACUGCAGACACAGCAACCACCAAAAAGACAGCAAGAAUAAUACUCCCACCAUCAUACCACCCAUCUUCCCAGCCAUCUUGCUUGAUCCCAAAGCCAAGAGAGAGCACAGCACAUGCCAAUAAUAUUAAAAUAGUCGUAUCUUUAAAUGCAUCGAACACAAAUCUUAGAAACAUUUUUGGUGGUGGUUUUUGGUAUUUGUUGGCACCAAAGACAUCCUGUCUAUGAAUAAGAUCAGCCUCACAGCCAUUGAUACCGUUUUUUACAUCAGUUUCAAGAAUUAAAGCAAGUUCUUUAACCCCGCCAAACUCACUCAAAGACUCAAAGUUUUUGUCCCUUACCGUAUCGCGGAGCUUCUUUGGAUCAACAGUAAGCAAAGAAACGGGUUUGUUGUCACGUGGGGAGUCCUCGUUGAUACGCUGCACGUCAAUGGCAACGUAGGAAAGGGUGCGCAAGAGAGAGCCAUCCUUGUCAAGGACUUUCUUGGACAAAGAAAAAAGGAGCCUGGUGAAAGAUAUGGCCGUGAAAGCCAUCCUCCAUCUCCGUUUGUGGGUCUUGGAGACUGACCACAAGUCUUCUUGUCCUUCAUCACCUAUCUCGCUAGGCUUUCGAAACCUCAAAGUAGACAUAACAAUGAAACCUAAUAGAUAUUAGAGAGUGAGUUUGUUACUGUGUACUCGUAGUCCAAGAAGAACAAAUAAGGUUUUUUUUUUUUUUUUUUAAUGAAAAUACAAAUAGAGCUUGGGAUAAUAAAAGGGUUUGAGAGAGAGAGAGAGAGAGAGAGAGAGAGCCAAUGCUAAGAGCUUAUGGUGAAUUGUACGGUGUGUGACAAUUUUCUUUGUUUAUAUAUAGCGUAAGCUAAGAAGUUUCACUGUAGGUUCUUAAUAAUUUCUGUGAUAGAUCUUACUACGCGUUAUAUGGUUAUAUGUAACUUUCAUGAAAUUUACAAGAUAAGAUUACUCUGUGUAAUAUGUAACUUUCCUGGAAUUUACAGGAUAAAAUUACUCUGUGUAAUAUGUAAUUUUUUGUAAUAUAAGCUCUUUAAUAAUUGAGUUA